UCCGAAUGCACCUCCAGUUGUUCCUACAAUGAGAAUAACAAAGCAGUUGCUCCAUAAGACUGUACCAUUUCCUCUUGAAAUAAUAAUAAUAGAAAGACUGUCAUACGUGGACCUAUCAUCAAUGAGAAAUUGAGAAUACGUAAGAACAACUAUGAGGAACAAAGAGAGACUUUAUAAUGAUGAUGAUCAUUAAUAAUAAGAUAAUGGUACAAUUAGCCUCAGCCUGAGCUAGUUACUGCUUGAUUGUCGUACUUGAUUGUGGAGGGAUUAGCAGCUGUAAAGUGAAGGAGUCUUCAUGGUUGUACUGGAGUAACAGUGUGUCAGUGUAGCUGUUAGGAUAAAGACAAUAUUAGAAUCAUUAUAUAAAGAAGAUAAUGGUGGUUGGUCUGUUACUGUGAGACAUGUAGAACAUGUUAAAUCAUAUGCACCUCAUGUUGAUCAUAUUGUAACUGAUAUUGAAUGUAGACCUUUAAAAAAACACUAAUAAUCAUUAGCAAUUACAUGUACGCAUUAUGUGCUUUAUAAUGAAUUUUUAAAUAUUCAACAAAAAUUAAUUUUGUACAUGGACAUUCGGCAAAAAUUUGUGCAAAAGACAUUUUUGUAUAGUCUAUAAUUAUUACGCUUUCCAUUUCUUAGCACUGCUAGUGCUACUGUCAACUUGUGGUUUACGAGGACGUUUUGUUCCUCUACGAUUAGGCUGAACAGUCUCCCAUUCUUCAGCAUUUGUACUGCCAUUUUCUUGAUCUUCAACAGCAUCAUC